GGUGUCCGUCCACAUCGGCCAAUUUGGACCAGUCUCAGACACCAGAUCUUUAGGCUGGGCAACAGCGAGGAAUGCCACACUCCCAAAUUUGUCCAAUGGCGUCAGUAUAUGGAGUGUGCUCUGCGACGACAUCAGAGACUGGAGUAUCUAAUUCCCAAGUAUCCGCUGCAUCAAAUGGCUUACAGAAAGAACAUUUACGUGGACAGAUACCCAAAAGGGAGAACACCUUCGAAAAUCCAGCAUGAAAAGUACAAAAAUAUUUGAUUGAAAUCGGCAUCUAUAAUAAUAUUUAUAAAUCAUUCACAGAAAUCCAGCAUCCAGGAUAUGCA
rnacentral:sRNA from 1 species